GACGAACGCUGGCGGCGUGCUUAACACAUGCAAGUCGAACGGAAAGGCCCUGCUUUUGUGGGGUGCUCGAGUGGCGAACGGGUGAGUAACACGUGAGUAACCUGCCCUUGACUUUGGGAUAACUUCAGGAAACUGGGGCUAAUACCGGAUAGGAGCUCCUGCUGCAUGGUGGGGGUUGGAAAGUUUCGGCGGUUGGGGAUGGACUCGCGGCUUAUCAGCUUGUUGGUGGGGUAGUGGCUUACCAAGGCUUUGACGGGUAGCCGGCCUGAGAGGGUGACCGGCCACAUUGGGACUGGGAUACGGCCCAGACUCCUACGGGAGGCAGCAGUGGGGAAUAUUGCGCAAUGGGCGGAAGCCUGAUGCAGCAACGCCGCGUGCGGGAUGACGGCCUUCGGGUUGUAAACCGCUUUCGCCUGUGACGAAGCGUGAGUGACGGUAAUGGGUAAAGAAGCACCGGCUAACUACGUG
rnacentral:rRNA from 1 species